rnacentral:rRNA from 1 species
UAGNGCAAGCAGGCAGAUCAACUCCUGCUUCAAAAUACAUUAGCAUGGGAUAAUGGCCCUAGGACCUNUCCUCCUAUAUCAGUUAGGUUUUGGCAGCGCGAGGACUAGUGGUAAUGAUUAAUAGGGAUAGUAUUGGGGUGCAUUAAUAUUUAAUUNGUCAGAGUGUGAAAUCUCUUGGAUUUAUGACAGAUUAACUUACUGCGAAAGCAUCUGCCAAGGAUGUUUACCUUAAUCAAGAACGAAAGUUAAGGGGAUCGACAGACGAUACAGAUANCGUUCGAAAGCUCUUAACCAUCAAACCGAUGCCGAACCAGACGAUAAAGGAGAACAGUAAGAAUACAAAAAACAAACNNACAACCAAAUACAGGCACAGACCAGAGANCCAUGAUCCACAUUUUGGGGGCGCCAGGUUAACCGANGUAUACAACAGGCAACACGGUGGGACGCCCGACCGNAAAGAGAGCCCGGANAUGAUAAGCAACCACUGAGGAUNNGAGGANAACACAUGAGAUUGGAAAAAUUNGNAACUUCACCACACAUAAGNANACA